GCGAACUUUCCGUCGCUUCCAACCACCACCAGGAGAUUUCAACAAUGUCGAUCUUGUUUACGCUUGGCUUAACAUGAAAAACGCCGAUUAUUUGAAAGAACCGAUUAAUGUAGUGAAAACUCCGUAUUAAAGAAGGCCAACAAAACCUCAGUUUAAACACACAUACACACACACAAAAAAAAGAAGUUUGGAUAUGAUGUCCAACAUGACCCAGAAACUUUAUUUCUUCUUUAUUGAUGUCAUUUGUUAUUCUAGACGAGCCAAUUACCAGGUUAAUGUAGCACUUGUACAGAUAAUAAAUGUGUUCUACCGA